UGCAGUCGAGCGGUAACAGGCGUAGCAAUACGUGCUGACGAGCGGCGAACGGGUGAGCAAUGCUUCGGAAUCUGCCCUUUAGUGGGGAAUAACCAGCCGAAAGGUUGGCUAAUACCGCAUACGCCCUUCGGGGGAAAGCGGGGGACCGUAAGGCCUCGCGCUAUUGGAUGAGCCGAAGUCGGAUUAGCUAGUUGGUAGGGUAACGGCCUACCAAGGCGACAAUCCGUAGCUGGUCUGAGAGGACGACCAGCCACACUGGGACUGAGACACGGCCCAGACUCCUACGGGAGGCAGCAGUGGGGAAUAUUGGACAAUGGGGGCAACCCUGAUCCAGCGACGCCGCGUGUGUGAAGAAGGCCUGCGGGUUGUAAAGCACUUUUAGUGGGGAUGAAAAGCUCAGGGAUAACACCUCUGGGUCUUGACCUAACCCACAGAAAAAGCACCGGCUAACUCUGUGCCAGCAGCCGCGGUAAUACAGAGGGUGCAAGCGUUAAUCGGAAUUACUGGGCGUAAAGCGCGCGUAGACGGUUACUCAAGUCGGGUGUGAAAGCCCCGGGCUCAACCUGGGAAUUGCAUUCGAGACUGCGUAGCUAGGGUGCGGAAGAGGGAAGUGGAAUUUCCGGUGUAGCGGUGAAAUGCGUAGAUAUCGGAAGGAACAUCAGUGGCGAAAGCGACUUCCUGGUCCAGCACCGACGUUC
rnacentral:rRNA from 1 species